UAUGUGAUCGUCUCUCGCAUAUCAAUAAGCGGAGGAAAAGAAACUAACAAGGAUUCCCCUAGUAACGGCGAGUGAAGCGGGACGAGCUCAAAUUUGAAAUCUUAAAGGGUUUCCCUUUACGAAUUGUAGUUUAAAGAAGUGUUUUCUGUUGAGGUUUUGGUAAAAGUUCUUUGGAAUAGGACAUCAUAGAGGGUGAGAAUCCCGUAUUUGACCUUUACUUUCAACUUUGUGAUACACUUUCAAAGAGUCGGAUUGUUUGGGAAUGCAGUCCAAAAUGGGUGGUAAAUUUCAUCUAAAGCUAAAUAUUGGCGAGAGACCGAUAGCGAACAAGUACCGUGAGGGAAAGAUGAAAAGGACUUUGAAAAGAGAGUUAAACAGUACGUGAAAUUGUCAAAAGGGAAGCGUUUGACACCAGUGUUGUUUUUCUGAAAAUCAAUUAAAGAACUGUUUAUGCUAAGCUGUUUAGACUUUAUCAGCUAUCUGUUUAGUUUUGAGCUUUUCUUUAAUGCACUUUUCAGUUAACAAGUCAACAUCAAUUUCUUUUGCUGUAAAAAAGCUUGAGGAAGGUGGCUUGAGAUUCGUCUUAAGUGUUUAUAGCCUCUUGCCUAUGCAGUCGGAGAGAUUGAGGUCUGCAGCGUAGAUCCUUCGGGGCUAAAUGCAUUUGUGCUAAGUUAUAGCAUUUUAUAGACAACUUGUUGACUAUGAUUUGUCUUGUAGCUUACUCGCUUAUGUUAUUUUACCUACGCUUAGGAUGUUGAGCGCAUGUCUCUCUCU
rnacentral:rRNA from 1 species